CGGCAAUGGAGGAAACUCUGACCGAGCAACGCCGCGUGAAUGACGAAGUACUUCGGUAUGUAAAGUUCUUUUAUCAAGGAAGAAAAGCAAAUGGCGAACCAUUUGUUUGCCGGUACUUGAUGAAUAAGCCCCGGCUAAUUAUGUGCCAGCAGCCGCGGUAAGACAUAAGGGGCAAGUGUUAUCCGGAAUUAUUGGGCGUAAAGGGUGCGUAGGCGGUCUAGUAAGUCAGUGGUGUAAUGGCAACGCUUAACGUUGUCCGGCUAUUGAAACUGCUAAACUUGAGUUAGAUAGAGGCGAGUGGAAUUCCAUGUGUAGCGGUAAAAUGCGUAAAUAUAUGGAGGAACACCAGAGGCGUAGGCGGCUCGCUGGGUCUUAACUGACGCUGAGGCACGAAAGCGUGGGGAGCAAACAGGAUUAGAUACCCUGGUAGUCCACGCCGUAAACGAUGAGUACUAAGUGUCGGGUUAAACCGGUACUGAAGUUAACACAUUAAGUACUCCGCCUGAGUAGUACGUACGCAAGUAUGAAACUUAAAGGAAUUGACGGGACUCCGCACAAGCGGUGGAUCAUGUUGUUUAAUUCGAAGAUACCCGAAAAACCUUACCAGGUCUUGACAUGUUUUUGCAAAAUGAUAGUAAUAUCGUGGAGGUUACCAGAAACACAGGUGGUGCAUGGUUGUCGUCAGCUCGUGUCGUGAGAUGUUAGGUUAAGUCCUAAAACGAGCGAAACCCUUAUCGUUAGUUGCCAGCACGUUAUGGUGGGGACUUUAACGAGACUGCCAAUGAUAAAUU
rnacentral:rRNA from 1 species